UUUGUAUUUUAGAAACGAUAAAAAGAUAUGGCCAGCAAGAUCAUUGCCAUUAAAUUGAAAAUAAUGGGUCGGUAUUUAAAGAAUAUAUCCAGUAGAUUUUCAUAAAAUACUGAUAUGAAAAAAUUAUUACCAUUGGCAUUGAAUUUGAAAACCCUGGUUGGGAAAAGAAGUUCUACACCGAGUAGAUUUUCUGAGAGAAUCUGGAAUAUUAAACAAACAGAUCCAUUUUUCGUGUUCUUUCUUGUCGGUUGCCAAAGCGAAGAUGACCAGAGGAGAACUUUUGAGGCUCAUCAAAGGUUUGAUAAACGAAGAGAAUUUGACCAAAGGUCUGACCUUGGCCCUUGCUCCUUGGACCCUUGUAUGAGGGCAUCACUGCAAAACCACCCACAUAUGUAGUUUUAGGUCAUACCCAUCAUUUUGACGGUAAAGAUAUAGCAUGUGUUCAGUAUGGUGAGCUCCCAGAGACGAGCAUUUCAGAGUUGCGCCAUAAUUAGUAAACAAAUCGGUGUUCGAUCUAGUCAUUUUGUUGAACAUUAAUUUCUGAUUUGUUGUAUUGGCCGAAUCCGAUUGGUAACACGUAUGAAGCUCGUCUUAGGUGAUAAUUCUAGUGACCCUAGAGUUGUGGCUUGGAGCCUUGGAGAUCAUACUCUCUGAUCUAUCAGAGAAAAACCCUAAUUUCAUGAAUUCGACUUUGAUUCUUAUGAGGAAGAACCAGUUUGAAGAUAUGACUAACAGUUCGUCUUCCAAAAAGCACGGUCAAGAUCAGCCAGAGAUGAGUGGGCGCACACCCAAAUACCAGCGACAAUGAAAAGAGGGUAACAAUUCUUUGUUUGAUUCGAAUUUGGAAAAAUACCCAUGUUCAGAAUUACCAAUACAUCUUGUACCAGAAGCUCGGGAGCUAUCCUAAAACGGUUUUAAAUCUCAAUGCCGAAAACAUGUUUACGUUUUGCUUUACUUUAAUGCACUCUUGUUUUUCUAUUGCCUUUAUUCUUCAAGAGUUUAGUGUCAGAAUCAAAUUUGAAAGAUUAACUCUGGAAAAAAAAUUGAUAGAUUACCCAUUGCUUCAAUCUCCAUGCUAACGUUUCCCGCGAAUCAAAAAACAGUUUUUGAAUAUGGAUUUAUGACACUACGUCUUGAACUUGCAUUAUAUAUAUAUAUCCAUUCAGAAUUGUUGUUUGCACUAUUUUUAUUGAGUUUUCUUGUAGAUUUUGAUCAAGAAUCAAGAAUAAUGACAUAAGCGUUCCAAUUGAGCAUGGUAUGAUGCUAACGUCUUUUUUGGUAGCUUUGUGGCUUCUCGAAUAGCUUGUUUUCCCACAGACACAAAUGGAUGGCGUAUGUUCGUGGGAGGAGUGGUGAUAAAAGAUGCUUGUUUUCACAGUUUCAAAUUGUCAAUACCCCCGCAAGGGAUGUGGAGUCGCUGCCAUUUGAGAGUAAUCAGAAGCUGGAUGGGGUGAAUUUGAAAUGGCCUCUUCAUUUUCGCAGCAAUGUUUGUGAUGAGUCAUUGAUCUUGUAAGUUUUUUUAUGUGUUUCUUGUUUUAAUUUAUAUGGUCUUGGCCCAAACUGUAAUGGAGUAGUAAGCAGAUCUUUUAUUAUAAAGCAAAGAUACAUACGGUGAUCAGACUAGAAUAGUAAUAGCAAAUCAUACUCAGUUUUGAAACACUCGUACCUGGUUCUGAAUUUCACAAUAGGAUUAGGGUCAUCAACCUGCUUGAGCAACCACCACGGCCCUGUACCAACAAAUUCUGCUGCGUUACCAUUACUGCUCUAUUAGCAUCAAUAUAGGAUCAAGAAUAACCUUCCAAUGGCUUAGUUUGUUGGUCAGGUUUAACAAAAAUGAUUUCACACUACAUAUUGUACAAUCAUGUACAAAGAUUUUGAUUGGAACCAAAUGGCUGAAGAAGCCAAAGUAGUUGGGUUGAGUUUUACCCUGUAUCGUGUGCUAAAUGCGACCCAUCAAAUAUUUUUCAUGACCUUUUAUUUAUUUAGUUGAAAUAUACAAGAUACAGGAAAUAAUGAUGCAGGCAUAACUUGAUACUUCCAUCAAGUAAGAGCAUAUACCUCCUUGUGUGCUUGAAAGCAUGUAUGCUGUUAGUAAUGUAGCCAUUCUUGUUGUAGAUUAUAUCAUAAAUGUCUUUGUAGCUCUCUACAGAAUCUGAAUCUCCAUGCCUUGUAUUGCAUGUUUCAGUGCUCAUACCAUCCUUUCUGCAAUAUAUAUUUUUCUUUUCAGAUACUUCGUCUUGAAAUAACUCAUUCUUCUUUUUUCUUCAUUUAAAAAUAACCUUGAUUACAUAUUCAAAAGUACGUUGUUCUACAAUCUACAGUGGCUCUUCUUCUCCUAUUGCAUGAGUACGUGCAUGCCUUCUCUGCAGUUGUUCUUGUUUUCUAGUUGUAUGACUUUCUCGGUACCAGGAUGGAAUUAAGUCAAGUCUUCACUCCACCCACCCCACCUGCCAAAAAAUAAAAAAGAAAGAGACUCCACGAGAAGUAAAGAUUGUUUUUUGGCUCUUACAAAUUAGGCUAAUUUUCAGGAAUUUUGGCUUUUACAAAUGACCCUCUUCCAUAUGGUGUACCAAACUAACAUCCUUGACUUUGCUCUAUACCAGUAACUGUAGAAUCGGUGAAAAACACUGUGGCUUGUUUCUCCUUUCAAUUCAAUUCCUUUGAUGGCUACUCAUGCUGAGCUAUUGACCUAUCACAUUGGACAUCAUUAACUACGAUCCUCCAAAUUUGUUUCAAUUGACGUCCUGGUGUUCUGCAUCUCAAACAAGCUUUGACAAAGGUUUCAUAAAUCCAAUUGACUAAUUCAGGGGAUUGACAAGGAUCAGAGCUUUGGCUUAAUUUGUUUUUCAAUCUGAAGUUUCAGAGUUAACAGUGGGAUGGCUUUAAUGUUUGUAGAGAUGUGGAAGAAUUUGACCUUGUGUUUUCUUUUAGCUGGUAAGCGAAUUAUAUAGUUUCACUCAAGCUUCUUGUUCACAUAUCUUAAUUUGGAUAAACUCUUUAAAUUUUAUUCUGGAAGGUGUACCAGCCAAA